UGUAAGAACCCAAAAUUUUCCAUUUUAAACAUAAAUAGAAUUUUAAAGUAGAUCCUACCUCAGUUUUCAAAAACGUUUUCUCUCUCUAGAAGUAAAUCCCUUUCCUAAAGUUCUGCCUUCUCUCUAAGCUUUUUCAUCACUAAGUUGUUUGUUCAACAAUCAGGAAGCUCAUAGGUGUUCCUGGCAUUGAGAGCUCUGAUUGUCACCGAUCAGUUUUUCGAUCCUCCACCGGUAAGUGAUUCUCUCCUUUCUUUCAUGAUUCUUUGGCAUGCAAACUGUUGCAUGUUCAUAGUGAUUUUCCAUUUUCAAUUCCCAGCUUAAAUUAGGUUCUAAGAANUAUUCCCUGUCACAAGUUUGUAGGUUUCCAUAGAACUUUUGUGAGACGCAAGUUCAAUCUGGGUUUUGGCAAGACUGUAGACUGUUUUGAGGUAAGGGAAGCUAGGUUCUAAAUUCUUGUUUGAACAAUAUUUACGUCCUUGUUUGAUCUUUAGGUAGAAUUAUUACAAUUUGAUGCAUGUAUAAAUUGGGUGAAAAAUGCUUUACUUUUGAACUGGAUGUAAAAGAACAUGUGCUGAAAUUUAUGUUUUAUGGCUUNUGUUUGAUAUGAACUGAUAAGUGAGCAAUUGUGAAUUGUAUGACUAUGUAUAUGAUGUGAAUUUUAUUGUUUAAGAGUGAGGAUUCAGUUUUCUGCAGAUUGUGAGUAAAUGGCUAAGUCAAUUUCAGCAUUUGAGUCAAAUUAGGGAACUUGAGUAGUGAAUUUGAGAAUUAUAGGUUAGACUUAGGUUUAGGCUAUUGC
rnacentral:lncRNA from 1 species